UACGGAGGGUGCGAGCGUUGUCCGGAAUCAUUGGGCGUAAAGGGCGCGUAGGUGGCCCGGUCAGUUCGUGGUGAAAGCGCGGGGCUCAACCCUGGAAUGGCAUUGAAUACUGGAGGACUAGAGUACUGGAGAGGAAACUGGAAUUUACGGUGUAGCAGUGAAAUGCGUAGAGAUCGUAAGGAAGACCAGUGGCGAAGGCGAGUUUCUGGACAGUUACUGACGCUGAGGCACGAAGGCCAGGGGAGCGAACGGG
rnacentral:rRNA from 1 species